CCCUCCACCACCUCCCCACUAAACUGCCUCCUCCCUCCCUCCCUCCACCACCUUCCCACUAAACUGCCUCCUCCACCUCCCUCCACCACCUCCCCACUAAACUGCCUCCCUCCCUCCCUCCAGUCCGUCACUCUCAGGCUGUGUCCUGUGUGACUGUCAGUGCAGUAGUGUGUGGAAGUGCUUGGUGUUGAGCUGUGAGGUAUUUUAUAGCCUUGUAAUUACCAGACUGAUUACUGCUGUGCUGUCAGUGUAGCUAAGCAGAAUGUAAGGAGGGAUGGUUGUACGAGGGUAUUUUACUGAUGGGGUCAAAGGGAAAGGCGACAUUAUAAUUCUCUACUCUUCUUCUGAAGUGUCCACUUGGAUGGAAUGGACUGGAAGGUCCUAGGGAGCAGAGCAGUACAUUAUGAAGCUGAAGGUCCUAGGGAACAGAGCAGUACAUUAUGAAGCUGAAGGUCCCAGGGAACAGAGCAGUACAUUGUGAAGCUGAAGGUCCUAGGGAACAGAGCAGUACAUUAUGAAGCUGAAGGUCCUAGAGAGCAGAGCAGUACAUUAUGAAGCUGAAGGUCCCAGGGAACAGAGCAGUACAUUAUGAAGCUGAAGGUUCGAGGCAACAGAGCAGUACAUUAUGAAGCAGAGCAGUACAUUAUGAAGCUGAAGGUCCUAGGGAGCAGAGCAGUACAUUAUGAAGCUGAAGGUCCUAGGGAGCAGAGCAGUACAUUAUGAAGCUGAAGGUCCUAGGGAACAGAGCAGUACAUUAUGAAGCUGAAGGUCCCAGGGAACAGAGCAGUACAUUAUGAAGCUGAAGGUUCGAGGCAACAGAGCAGUACAUUAUGAAGCUGAAGGUCCCAGGGAACAGAGCAGUACAUUAUGAAGCUGAAGGUCCUAGGGAACAGACCAGUACAUUAUGAAGCUGAAGGUCCUAGGGAACAGAGCAGUACAUUAUGAAGCUGAAGGUCCCACAGAACAGAUCAGUACAUUAUGAAGCUGAAGGUCCUAGGGAACAUAGCAGUACAUUAUGAAGCUGAAGGUCCUAGGGAACAGAGCAGUACAUUAUGAAGCUGAAGGUCCUAGGGAACUGAGCAGUACAUUAUGAAGCUGAAGGUCCUAGGGAACAGAGCAGUACAUUAUGAAGCUGAAGGUCCUAGGGAGCAGAGCAGUACAUUAUGAAGCUGAAGGUCCUAGGGAACAGAGCAGUACAUUAUGAAGCUGAAGGUCCUAGGGAACAGAGCAGUACAUUAUGAAGCUGAAGGUCCCAGGGAACAGAGCAGUACAUUAUGAAGCUGAAGGUCCUAGGGAACAGAGCAGUACAUUAUGAAGCUGAAGGUCCUAGGGAGCAGAGCAGUACAUUAUGAAGCUGAAGGUCCCAGGGAACAGAGCAGUACAUUAUGAAGCUGAAGGUCCCAGGGAACAGAGCAGUACAUUAUGAAGCUGAAGGUCCUAGGGAACAGACCAGUACAUUAUGAAGCUGAAGGUCCUAGGGAACAGACCAGUACAUUAUGAAGCUGAAGGUCCUAGGGAACAGAGCAGUACAUUAUGAAGCUGAAGGUCCUAGGGAACAGACCAGUACAUUAUGAAGCUGAAGGUCCUAGGGAACAGAGCAGUACAUUAUGAAGCUGAAGGUCCUAGGGAACAGAGCAGUACAUUAUGAAGCUGAAGGUCCUAGGGAACAGAGCAGUACAUUAUGAAGCUGAAGGUCCUAGGGAACAGAGCAGUACAUUAUGAAGCUGAAGGUCCUAGGGAACAGAGCAGUACAUUAUGAAGCUGAAGGUCCUAGGGAACAGAGCAGUACAUUAUGAAGCUGAAGGUCCUAGGGAACAGAGCAGUACAUUAUGAAGCUGAAGGUCCUAGGGAACAGAGCAGUACAUUAUGAAGCUGAAGGUCCCAGGGAACAGAGCAGUACAUUAUGAAGCUGAAGGUCCCAGGGAACAGAGCAGUACACUAUGAAGCUGAAGGUCCUUGGGAACAGAGCAGUACAUUAUGAAGCUGAAGGUCCUCAGGAACAGAGCAGUACAUUAUGAAGCUGAAGGUCCUCGGGAACAGAGCAGUACAUUAUGAAGCUGAAGGUCCUAGGGAACAGAGCAGUACAUUAUGAAGCUGAAGGUCCUCGGGAACAGAGCAGUACAUUAUGAAGCUGAAGGUCCUCGGGAACAGAGCAGUACAUUAUGAAGCUGAAGGUCCCAGGGAACAGAGCAGUACAUUAUGAAGCUGAAGGUCCCAGGGAACAGAGCAGUACAUUAUGAAGCUGAAGGUCCCAGGGAACAGAGCAGUACAUUAUGAAGCUGAAGGUCCUAGGGAACAGAGCAGUACAUUAUGAAGCUGAAGGUCCCAGGGAACAGAGCAGUACAUUAUGAAGCUGAAGGUCCCAGGGAACAGAGCAGUACAUUAUGAAGCUGAAGGUCCCAGGGAACAGAGCAGUACAUUAUGAAGCUGAAGGUCCUCGGGAACAGAGCAGUACAUUAUGAAGCUGAAGGUCCCAGGGAACAGAGCAGUACAUUAUGAAGCUGAAGGUCCCAGGGAACAGAGCAGUACAUUAUGAAGCUGAAGGUCCCAGGGAACAGAGCAGUACAUUAUGAAGCUGAAGGUCCUCGGGAACAGAGCAGUACAUUAUGAAGCUGAAGGUCCCAGGGAACAGAGCAGUACAUUAUGAAGCUGAAGGUCCUCGGGAACAGAGCAGUACAUUAUGAAGCUGAAGGUCCUAGGGAACAGAGCAGUACAUUAUGAAGCUGAAGGUCCUCGGGAACAGAGCAGUACAUUAUGAAGCUGAAGGUCCUCGGGAACAGAGCAGUACAUUAUGAAGCUGAAGGUCCUCGGGAACAGAGCAGUACAUUAUGAAGCUGAAGGUCCCAGGGAACAGAGCAGUACAUUAUGAAGCUGAAGGUCCUCGGGAACAGAUCAGUACAUUAUAAGUGUUUCUUAUUGGUGGAGCCUCCAGUUGCUGCCUGAUGUUAAGUGAUGAUGUAGUACUCAUUAGGUGAUGUCAUGUUUUAACAUGUGUUUUUAGGAAAGACCGAGGCUUUCUGUGUUAAGAUAUGUUUUUAUCUAUAUACUCGAGGGAAGAUGACAUUUGGAGAAACGCUGUUUAAACAUUCCUUUAAUAUGUUCCUACUUUGUGAUCAUAGUAUUUGAGUUGUAUUAGUCGGUGUUCUGAUGAGAGGGUGAACAGCUGUGUGUAUAUUCACUAGGUACUGAACGGAGUAAGAUAGAUUUAAAACAGGCCUGGGAUUUAACCUGAACUUGUCUAAAAAUAAACACUUUUUUUUUUGUUGCAAAACUUGUUGCUUUGCAAAAUGUUUCGCUAAAUUGUGCACUAUGAAUAUACUGUGGCUGUGUGCUGCAGUUUGACCACCUGGCCUGCAGAGGGCAUCAAUGAGUCAACUUAUAAUAUAAUAAUAACUUAUUAUGUUUAACCAUAUGUCAUGUCCAUUAUCAUUAUGCAUCAAGAUAAUGAUUGUUGCUGUCUUUAUUCACAGUGUGUACUGAAUGAAAUGUUUCAUCAUUCACAUGUAUUUAUUUCACCAUUUGAAUAUUAUUUAUUGAAUUAGAAUUUUAAAUGUUAAGUACACUACACUGACCAACAGUAUGUGGACACCUGCUCGUCCAACAUCUCGUUCCAAAAUCAUGGGCAUUAAUAUGGAGUUGGUCCCCUCUUUGCUGCUAUAACAGCCUCUUCUGGGAAUUUUUCCCACUACCUGUUGGAACAUUGAUGUGGGGACUUGCUUCCAUUCAGCCACAAGAACAUUAGUGAGGUUGGACACUGAUGCUGGGCGAUUAGGCCUGGCUCGGAGUCGGCGUUCCAAUUCAUCUGAAAGGUGUUUGAUGGGGUUGAGGUCAGGGCUCUGUGCAGGCCAGUCAAGUUCCUCCACACUGAUAUCAACAAACCAUUUCUGUAUGAACUUCUCUUUGUGCACAGGGUCAUUGUCAACCUGGAACAGGAAAUGGUCUUCCCCAAACUGUUGCCACAAAGUUGGAAGCACAGAAUCAUCUAGAAUGUCAUUGUUAUGCUGUAGCGUUAGGAUUUCCCUUCACUGGAACUAAGAGGCCUGAACCAUGAACAACAGCCCCAGAACAUUAUUCCUCCUCCACCAAACUUUACAGCUGUGUUGGGGCAGGUAGCGUUCUCCUGGCAUCCGCCAAACCCAGAUUCGUCCGUUGGACUGCCAGAUGGUGAAGCGUUUCCACUGCUCCAGAGUCGGCGAACUUUAAACCACUUCCAGCCGACGCGUGGCAUUGUGCAUGGUGAUCUUAGGCUUGUGUGCGGCUGCUCGGCCAUGGAAACCCAUUUCAUGAAGCUUCAGACAAACCGUUCUUAACAUGACGUUGCUUCCAGAGGCAGUUUGGAACUCGGUAGUGAGUGUUGCAACCGAGGACAGACGAUGCUUCAGCACUCGGCGAUCCCGUUCUGUGAGCUUGCGUGGCCUACCACUUCACAGCUGAGCCGUUGUUGCUCCUAGACUUUUCCACUUCACAAUAACAACACUUACAGUUGACCAGGGCAGCUCUAGCAGGGCAGAAAUUUGACGAAUUGACUUGUUGGAAAGGUGGCAUCCUAUGACUGCUCUACUGGCAAUGUUUGUCUAUGGAGAUUGCAUGGCGGUGUGCUCAAUUAUGAAUUAUUUUAAUACAGUUAUGAACGGGUGUGGCUGAUGGAGCCAAAUCCACUCAUUUAAAGGGGUGUCCACAUACUUUUGUAUAUAUAUAUAGUGUAUAUCUUAUUUUGAUAUUGGUACCUUGUGUUGUAAAGACUGGAUGGAUUCAAAGUUGUUCUUUUUCCAAAAUAAAUCUGUGCCCUGGA